UGGGCUUCUCCCGCAGCAUCCUAUAUGUCCAAUGCCAUAUGUGUUGUGCUCAAGCAGACAUGAGGAUGCUUUCUCCUUUUGUCCUCCACGGUUGGGGACCUAUGACCUUUGGUCGUAAGGGCAGUGACUGCAUCAGACCUCACACACUGAACCAUAUGUCCUACCUCCAUGGGGGACAAUUCAAAAAACACCCCGUCUUCUGGAGGAAGACUGACACGGCAUGGCUCCAGGGUGGGCAUGGAGAGUGAGCUGUCCACUUGUUGAGGCAGAUGCACCUCACAGAUGUAGGGUCUGCCUGUGGCUGCCUGUCAGGAGCUCUGGUAUAAGGCGUAGAGAGUGAUAAUUGCUACCAAUCUUGCCACACAUCCUUUGAACAUGGGAUGAUCGAUGGGGCAUUUGCUCACUCGUAUCAUUGCCACAAGAGUAUUAUGUCCCCUGUUACACCUAAUGCGGUUCUCCUAGAUGCAUCUGUAAGAGAUGGAGUCCAAGUCGAGGAACAGGCAGGACAAAUAUAAUCCUGUUUCAGGCCAGAACCUGGAGGAAGAGAUUGUGCUUCUUUCAAAGAAAGGAGGUUCUAUUGCUCGAAUCUGAGACACAUGAACUUGUUGUUUCUUCUCUUCUCCUGUACAGCUGCCCCUGAUGCCACCACUGCAGCUCCUGCCACCACUGCAGUUCAUGUCACCCUUGCAGCUCCCGCCACCCCUGCAGCUCAUGCCACCCUUGCAGCUCCCGCCACCCCUGCAGCUCAUGCCACCCCUGCAGCUCCCACCACCCGUGCAGCUCAUGCCACCCCUGCAGCUCCCGCCACCCCUGCAGCUCCCGCCACCAUGACCAAUGCUGUUCAAAGCACCACUCGAGCUGGCUUCUUCAGCUCGAUUUGGAAAAUAGUGGGUUGAAAUAUUACUAAGAUGGAAUUAGUCCGAGGUAUCUGCAUUUGAUCUUGCAGGGCUCGGCACAAGGCCCAUCCAUUUGAUUUAAUCUAACUACUUAUCAAGUCUACCAUCUUUAUCUUAUCUUUAAUCAGUUUAUGGUUUUCAAAUAAAAAAUAAUAUUGAGCAACA
rnacentral:lncRNA from 1 species